rnacentral:misc_RNA from 1 species
CCGAGUAUCGGGUGCUCUCGCGCCCUGCUCCCACCCUAUGUUUACCUAUAACCGUUGCUUUGGCGGGUCGGUGGGCCACCCACCGCCGGGCAGCGCCUGGAGAGCGCCCGUCAGAGGACCAAACAAACUCUUGUCAACCUGUCGCAUCUGAGCACAUGAGAAUAAGUA